UACGGAGGGGGCUAGCGUUGUUCGGAAUUACUGGGCGUAAAGCGCACGUAGGCGGCUUUGCAAGUUAGAGGUGAAAGCCCGGGGGCUCAACUCCGGAAUUGCCUUUAAAACUGCAUCGCUAGAGUUGUGGAGAGGUAAGUGGAAUUCCGAGUGUAGAGGUGAAAUUCGUAGAUAUUCGGAAGAACACCAGUGGCGAAGGCGACUUACUGGACACAUACUGACGCUGAGGUGCGAAAGCGUGGGGAGCAAACAGG
rnacentral:rRNA from 1 species